rnacentral:rRNA from 1 species
ACUCAAAGGAAUUGACGGGGGCCCGCACAAGCAGUGGAGCAUGUGGUUUAAUUCGAUGCAACGCGAAGAACCUUACCCAGGCUCGAAAUGUAAUGGGCGAUAUCAGAGAUGAUAUUAUCCGCAAGGACUAUUAUAUAGGUGCUGCAUGGCUGUCGUCAGCUCGUGCCGUGAGGUGUUGGGUUAAGUCCCGCAACGAGCGCAACCCUUAUCAUUAGUUGCCAACACGCGAGGUGGGGACUCUAAUGAGACUGCCUGGGUUAACCAGGAGGAAGGUGAGGAUGAUGUCAAGUCCGCAUGGCCUUUAUGUCUGGGGCUACACACGUGCUACAAUGGUCGGUACAGAAGGCAGCAAGACCGUAAGGUGGAGCAAAUCCGAAAAGCCGAUCACAGUUCAGAUUGUAGUCUGCAACUCGACUACAUGAAGUUGGAAUUGCUAGUAAUGACGUGUCAGCAACAACGUCGUGAAUACGUUCCCGGGCCUUGUACACACCGCCCGU